rnacentral:rRNA from 1 species
GUGGGGAAUAUUGGACAAUGGGCGAAAGCCUGAUCCAGCCAUGCCGCGUGUGUGAAGAAGGUCUUCGGAUUGUAAAGCACUUUAAGUUGGGAGGAAGGGCAGUAAGUUAAUACCUUGCUGUUUUGACGUUACCGACAGAAUAAGCACCGGCUAACUUCGUGCAAGCAGCCGCGGUAAUACGAAGGGUGCAAGCGUUAAUCGGAAUUACUGGGCGUAAAGCGCGCGUAGGUGGUUUUGUAAGUUGGAGGUGAAAUCCCCGGGCUCAACCGGGGAACUGCCUCCAAAACUGAAUGACUAGAGUACGGUAGAGGGUAGUGGAAUUUCCUGUGUAGCGGUGAAAUGCGUAGAUAUAGGAAGGAACACCAGUGGCGAAGGCGACUACCUGGACUGAUACUGACACUGAGGUGCGAAAGCGUGGGGAGCAAACAGGAUUAGAAACCCGGGUAGUCC